AUUGAACGCUGGCGGCAGGCCUAACACAUGCAAGUCGAACGAGUGGCGGACGGGUGAGUAAUGUCUGGGAAACUGCCUGAUGGAGGGGGAUAACUCCUGGAAACGGUAGCUAAUACCGCAUACCAUCGGAUGUGCCCAGAUGGGAUUAGCUGGUAGGUGGGGUAACGGCUCACCUAGGCGACGAUCCCUAGCUGGUCUGAGAGGAUGACCAGCCACACUGGAACUGAGACACGGUCCAGACUCCUACGGGGGGCAGCAGUGGGGAAGAUUGCACAAUGGGCGCGAGCCUGAUGAAGCCAUGCCGCGUGUGUGAAGAAGGCCUGCGGGUUGUAAAGCACUUUCAGCGGGGAGGCGUUACUCGCAGAAGAAGCACCGGCUAACGCCGUGCCAGCAGCCGCGGUAAUAC
rnacentral:rRNA from 1 species